GUAGUUUGCCGGUCCUUCUUCUUCAGGUACAGUCAUUUAUUUCUUCCCUGAUAAAAUAAGUUUACAAUCCGAAAACCUUCUUCCCUCACGCGGCGUUGCUGGGUCAGGCUUGCGCCCAUUGCCCAAUAUUCCCCACUGCUGCCUCCCGUAGGAGUCUGGACCGUGUCUCAGUUCCAGUGUGGCCGAUCAGCCUCUCAGCUCGGCUACCCAUCGUCGGCUUGGUGGGCUGUUAUCUCACCAACUACCUAAUGGGACGCGAACCCCUCUAAAAGCGAUAAAUCUUUGACCUCUUCCCGAUGCCGGGUUGUGGUCUUAUGCGGUAUUAGCAGUUGUUUCCACCUGUUAUUCCCCACUCUUAGGCAGGUUGUUCACGCGUUACUCACCCGUGCGCCACUAGAAUUAUCAAUUCCAUCCGAAAACUUCCUUAAUAAUCCCCGUUCGACUUGCAUGUGUUAGGCACGCCGCCAGCGUUCGUCCUGAGCCAUGAUCAAACUCUGA
rnacentral:rRNA from 1 species